rnacentral:lncRNA from 1 species
CAUUUCUCUCUUCUUCCUCUCCGGCGAUCUCUCUCUCCUUCCGGCGUUCUCCACCUUCUCUCGCGACGAUAUCUCCGGCGAAUCCUCUCCAUUCCCUUACAAAUCAUGUAAGGACCUUAUCCCACUCUCUUAUGUCCUAUUUGUUAGGUUCUUAAGUAGAUUUGAUGAUUUUAGAAGUUUUUUGAUAGAUUUUUGUUAGGGUGAUUGGGUAGGAUUGUGAUUUGUUGUGUAAUAGGUUUAGAAUUGUGAUUUGGUUGUGUUGAAUUGAUUUAGAAUUUUUUUAUAAAUUUUUUAUUAUUUUUGUAUUUACAAAACGUUUUUCUAUAUAAAUUCGAUUUUACAAAACGUUUUUUGUAUAUAAAUUCGAUUUUCGGAUUUAUAAAAGAUGAUUUCAUAUUUAUAAAAAUAUUUAUAUUUAUUAAAACUAAUUUUGUAUUUAUAAAACAUUUUUUUGAUUUAUAAACACUAUUUUUUUAUUUUUUUAUUUAUAAAAACUAUUUUUAAAUAUAAAAAACGUUUUUUGUAUAUAAAUUCGAUUUUUGGAUUUAUAAAAGAUGAUUUCAUAUUUUAAAACUAAUUUUGUAUUUAUAAAACAUUUUUUUGAUUUAUAAACACUAUUUUAUUAUUUUUUGUAUUUAUAAAAGCUAUUUUGUAUUUAUAAAAAGAUGAUUUCAUAUCUAUUAAAAUAUUUAUAUUUAUAAAACUAAUUUUGUAUUUAUAAAACAUUUUUUUGAUUUAUAAACACUAUUUUAUUAUUUUUUGUAUUUAUAAAAAC